GGGAGGCAGCAGUGGGGACUAUUGGACAAUGGGGGGAAGCGUGAUCCGUCCAUGCCGGCCGUGUGGAGAAGGCCUUUUGGUUGUAAAGCACUUUAAACGUGGAGGAGGCUAGAAGUAAUAAUACUACGGGAUAGUUGACGUUACUACCAGAAUAAGCACCGGCUAAUUACUGUGCCAGCAGCCGCGGUAAUACUGAGGGGGCUAGCGUUGUUCUGAUUUACUGGGGGUAAAAAAGGCGUAGGCGGCUGAUUAAGUCGGAUGUGAAAUCCCUGAGCUUAACUUCGGAAUUGCAUUCGAUACUGGUCAGCUAGAGUAGUGGGAGAGAUGGUAGAAUUCCAGGUGUAGCGGUGAAAUGCGUAGAGAUCUGGAGGAAUACCGAUGGCGAAGGCAGCCAUCUGGCCUAAUACUGACGCUGAGAGGCGAAAGCGGGGGGAGCAAACACGAUUAGAUACCCCUGGUAGUCCACACAGAAACGUUGAACUAGCCCUGGGGCCUAUAUGCCGUCAGUGGCGCAGCUAACGCGAUAAGUAGA
rnacentral:rRNA from 1 species